GACGAACGCUGGCGGCGUGCUUAACACAUGCAAGUCGAACGGUGAAGCGCCUUCCUUUUUGGUGGGUGUGGACGAGUGGCGAACGGGUGAGUAACACGUGAGUAACCUGCCCCCUUCUUCUGGAUAACCGCAUGAAAGUGUGGCUAAUACGGGAUAUUCUGGGUCUGUCGCAUGAUGGGUCUGGGAAAGAUAUUGUUUCGGUGGGGCAUGGGCUCGCGGCCUAUCAGCUUGUUGGUGGGGUGGUGGCCUACCAAGGCGGUGGCGGGUAGCUGGCCUGAGAGGGUGCACGGUCACACGGGUACUGGGACACGGCCGGGACUCCUACGGGAGGCAGCAGUGGGGAGUGUUAGACGAUGGGCGCAAGGCUGAUGCGGCGACGCCGCGUGAGAGAUGGAGGCCUUCGGGUUGUGAACCUCUUUCGCCAGUGAAGCAUGCCUGCCUCGUUUGUGGGUGGGUUGACGGUAGCUAGAUAAGAAGCGCCGGCUAACUACGUG
rnacentral:rRNA from 1 species